rnacentral:tRNA from 1 species
GCGGAAGUAGCUCAGCGGUAGAGCGUCUCCUUGCCAAGGAGAAGGUCGAGGGUUCAAAUCCCUUCUCCCGCUCCA